UGCUGAGCCAGUUGGAGCUGGUACAUUUUAAUUACUUGCUGUCUUCACUGGAGUGCUGCAAGCUCGAAGUGUGAUCCUUAGUAGCUGUUAUUCAAUACCAUAUGCUCUUAAGGACAACGCCCUGAUGUCCAAGGUCAAUCAGCAAGAAGCUGAGAAGGCACUGUCAAAAUGGUUCACUGGGGCAAGGGACAGAGGAGGACAGAGAGCAUCAAGAAUGCAGAAAAGGAUGUCUGUUUGAGAAAGGUUAUAACUACAGUUGCUGAUUUGAACUGUCAUAGUUCUUUUAUUUUUCUUAAAGGAAAACCUUUUUCAAUAUUUUACCAUGUUCUUCCCUCAACUUAGAUGAAUUAAUACAUACCUCUA